UACGUAGGGGGCAAGCGUUAUCCGGAUUUACUGGGUGUAAAGGGAGCGUAGACGGCCAGACAAGUCUGAAGUGAAAAUCCAGCGCUUAACGUUGGAAGUGCUUUGGAAACUGCCGGGCUAGAGUGCAGGAGGGGCAGGCGGAAUUCCUAGUGUAGCGGUGAAAUGCGUAGAUGUUAGGAGGAACACCAGUGGCGAAGGCGGCCUGCUGGACUGCAACUGACGUUGAGGCUCGAAGGCGUGGGGAGCAAACAGG
rnacentral:rRNA from 1 species